AUAUGAUAGAGCGGAGCGACGGUGUGAAAGCUGAGCCAGGAAAAUUAUCAUGGCUGUCGGGGCCGUAUUGGCUUGACGGCCUGUGUGCUGGCUAGUUGAGUGUGGCGGGUCAACACC